rnacentral:rRNA from 1 species
CUUGACUAACCAUAGGAGGUCCAGCCUGCCCAGUGACUCUGUUCAACGGCCGCGGUAUCCUAACCGUGCGAAGGUAGCGUAAUCACUUGUUCUUUAAAUGAGGACUAGUAUGAAUGGCACCACGAGGGCUACACUGUCUCCUUUUUUUAAUCAGUGAACUUAAUCUUCCCGUGAAGAAGCGGGAAUAAACCUAUAAGACGAGAAGACCCUAUGGAGCUUAAAACAACAUAGCACUUGCCACAUAACACAAAAAUUUCUGAAUACCCUAAUUUUUCAAAGCAACAUGACUAUAAGUUUUUGGUUGGGGUGACCGCGGAGCAUAACACAACCUCCACGUUGAACGAACUUUAUUCUAAGCCACGAACCACUUUCCUAAGCAUCAAUACAUUGACAUUAAUUGACCCAAUACAUUUGACCAACGAAC